AACGCACCUUGCGCUCCUCGGUGUUCCGAGGAGCAUGCCUGUUUGAGCGUCAGUAAAUUCUCAACCCCUCUCGAUUAGCUUCGAAAGGGCGCUUGGAUAGUGGGGGCUGCCGGAGAUCUGGACUUUUCGUCUGGGACUCGGGCUCUCCUGAAAUGAAUGGGCUUGCGGUCGGCUUUCGACUAUGCAUGACAAGGCUUUUGGCGUGAUAAUGAUCGCCGCUCGCCGAAGUGCAUGAAUGAACGGUCCCGUGCCUCUAAUGCGUCGAUGCCUUCUGGCGUCUUCCUUAUUGACUUUUGACCUCAAAUCAGGUAGGACUACCCGCUGAACUUAA
rnacentral:misc_RNA from 1 species